rnacentral:rRNA from 1 species
GAUGAACGCUGGCGGCGUGCCUAAUACAUGCAAGUCGAGCGAACAGACGAGGAGCUUGCUCCUCUGACGUUAGCGGCGGACGGGUGAGUAACACGUGGAUAACCUACCUAUAAGACUGGGAUAACUUCGGGAAACCGGAGCUAAUACCGGAUAAUAUAUUGAACCGCAUGGUUCAUUAGUGAAAGCCGGUUUUCCUUUCACUAUUAGAUGGAUCCGCGCCGCAUUAGCUAGUUGGUAAGGUAACGGCUUACCAAGGCAACGAUGCGUAGCCGACCUGAGAGGGUGAUCGGCCACACUGGAACUGAGACACGGUCCAGACUCCUACGGGAGGCAGCAGUAGGGAAUCUUCCGCAAUGGGCGAAAGCUUGACGGAGCAACGCCGCGUGAGUGAUGAAGGUCUUCGGAUCGUAAAACUCUGUUAUUAGGGAAGAACAAAUGUGUAAGUAACUAUGCACGUCUUGACGGUACCUAAUCAGAAAGCCACGGCUAACUACGUG